rnacentral:tRNA from 1 species
GGGGAUAUAGCUCAGUGGGUAGAGUGCUUACCUAGUAUGCAAAAGGCCCUGGGUUCAAUCCUCAGCAUCACCA